GUGAGAAUCCCGUAUGUGACCGGCGAUCAAGCCCAUGUGAAACUCCUUCGACGAGUCGAGUUGUUUGGGAAUGCAGCUCAAAAUGGGUGGUAUAUUUCAUCUAAAGCUAAAUACCGGCCAGAGACCGAUAGCGCACAAGUAGAGUGAUCGAAAGAUGAAAAGCACUUUGGAAAGAGAGUCAAAAAGUACGUGAAAUUGUUGAAAGGGAAGCGCUCGCAACCAGACCUGCCCGCGGCCGAUCAACCGUCCUUCUGGACGGUGCACUCGGUCGCGAUCAGGCCAGCAUCGGUUCGGGCGGCCGGAUAAAGGCCCUGGGAACGUAGCUCCUUUCGGGGAGUGUUAUAGCCCUCGGUGCAAUGCGGUCAGCCUGGACCGAGGACCGCGCUUCGGCUAGGAUGCUGGCGUAAUGGUUGUGAGCGGCCCGUCUUGAAACACGGACCAAGGAGUCUAACAUCUAUGCGAGUGUUUGGGUGUCAAACCCAUGCGCGUAAUGAAAGUGAACGGAGGUGGGAACCCAUUCGGGCGCACCAUCGACCGAUCCAGAUGUCUUCGGAUGGAUUUGAGUACGAGCAUAGCUGUUGGGACCCGAAAGAUGGUGAACUAUGCCUGAAUAGGGUGAAGCCAGAGGAAACUCUGGUGGAGGCUCGCAGCGGUUCUGACGUGCAAAUCGAUCGUCGAAUUUGGGUAUAGGGGCGAAAGUACGUAUUCAACCUUCUGUUACAUCGAAAUAAACAAAUGCUAAUAUCUUCUUCUAGGACUAAUCGAACCAUU
rnacentral:rRNA from 1 species